rnacentral:rRNA from 1 species
UAUCUCUGUAGAGUCUGCAUAUCAAUAAGCGGAGGAAAAGAAACUAACAAGGAUUCCCCUAGUAACGGCGAGUGAAGCGGGAAGAGCUCAAAUUUGAAAUCUUCAAGGUUUGACCUUGACGAAUUGUAGUUUAAAGAAGUGUUUUCGGUUAGAGGAGUAGUAAAAGUUCUUUGGAAUAGGACAUCAUAGAGGGUGAGAAUCCCGUAUUUGACUAUUCUUUCUAGCUUUGUGAUACACUUUCAAAGAGUCGGAUUGUUUGGGAAUGCAGUCCAAAAUGGGUGGUAAAUUUCAUCUAAAGCUAAAUAUUGGCGAGAGACCGAUAGCGAACAAGUACCGUGAGGGAAAGAUGAAAAGAACUUUGAAAAGAGAGUUAAACAGUACGUGAAAUUGUCAAAAGGGAAGCGUUUGACACCAGUGUUGUUUUUCCGAAAAUCAAUUAAAAAUUGAUUCAUGCCAGGUUGUAUUGACCUUAUCAGCUUGCAAUUUGGUUUUGGGUCUCUUUUUGAUGCACUUUUCGGUUAACAAGUCAACAUCAAUUUCCUUUGCUGUAAAAAGGUAAGAGGAAGGUGGCUUCAAUUUCGGUUGAAGUGUUUAUAGCCUUUUAUCUCUGCAGUCGGGGAGAUUGAGGUCUGCAGCGUAGAUCCUUCGGGGCUAGAUACAUUUAUGCUAAGUUAUAGCUUUUCAUAGACAACUUGUUGACUAUGUUUAGUCAUGUAGCUUACUCGUAAGUGCUAUUUUACCUACGCUUAGGAUGUUGAGCGCAUGUCUCUCUC